GACACGGCUAGCUUCAGCGCUGACGAGAGACAUGAUGCACAGAUCCAGCUCAUACAGGACAGAGGAGAGAGAGGACGAGACGUGCUGCUCCAGACCUGUGUGUGACUGCAGAGCUUUAAACCUGAAACAUUCGCUAUGAAAUGGUCCAGCUCGAUGCGUCUCUGCCGUAGAUUAAUGAGGAGAAGAUAAUGAGCAGAGCUUCACACGAUGUGCUGAACGAAUCAAUGUCUCCACAGAGUUUCCAAUUCCCAAUAAAAGCAAUACUCUCAA